ACGGAGCAUGAGUGAAAUUUAGUUUCUUCUUUAAUACUACACAGCUGUAGCGGGUGCCCAUGGCCAGCAGGAAAAAAUUUGGUCUGUGCACCUUCGGGGGUCUCAGAGGGCAUUAAAGCGCAUUCUGAUAAUGCUAGUACGAGUACCUAGAGGGGGGUGAAUAGGUUUAUGAAAAUUUUCUUGAAGAUUGCACAAUACUUAGACAGAUGAAGGAUUAAAAAAUCAAUCGUAAGACUGAGUAAAGGAAAGAGAGAAUUAAACACGAGGUUUAUAGUGGUUCGGCUUGAUUCAAGCCUACGUCCACUCUUCUGCACUGACAGCCGAUUGGCUGGAUUCCACUAUGAACAAAGAGAUGUUACAGUGUUGAUCUUCCUUGAUUUCUCGAUGUAGAUGAUCUACUACACUCGCUCAAGGUAUCACCAAGUAUAAACACUCUCUGUGUAUACAAUUUCGCUCGAACUGUAUCGACUAACAAUCAAGGUCCUUCAGACUCUGGAAUUUUUCUAUCGAUCACACACACUUAAAACAACUAGAACGUCUUCCUUUUAUACUCAUUUAUGCCAUCAUAGCCGUUGGCACUUACCAAAGGAAUUCCUCCAAUCUACCCGUUGGACGGAAUCAAUUAAGAAGAUCAUCCGAGCUAUUUAAGGAAUCUGAUGAUAGCCCAUCAAUCCUGUUCGCCCAUACAAUCAGGAUUUUGGUUUCCAAGAAUAGAACAUUCCAAGAAUGCUUCGUCAACCAUCGGAUCUUCAAUUGUUCUUAGAUAAGAAUCAAAAAAAUCCGAAGUGAUUAUCCAACCAAGGGAUCUUUUCCAGAGGAUUGGAUCUAAUCCCUAACCAUAUACUUCGGCUUCGGAUAUCCUUCGCCACUGGAUUAGAAAGACUGUCAGUGAGAAUAAUCUUGAGUCUUGAGUCUUGAGUCUUGAGAUUACAAAGUCUUGAGACUUUAAACUAUCGAUAUCCAGACUAGACUGAUAGAAAUGUUUUGUCAGCUUCAAAAUAUUCUGGAAAGAUUUCUCCAACACAUUCAACAUCAAAGGCGCAAUUACAGAGUUUACAAUGGUAUAAUACAGACCCCCGGCAUACCCAGUGACAGGCAUCGCACUUUUUCCCUUGCCCAUCCUUUAAGACACGUUUAGCUUCCAAGGUGAGUUUACCG
rnacentral:lncRNA from 1 species